GAUGAACGCUGGCGGCGUGCCUAAUACAUGCAAGUCGAGCGAACAGACGAGGAGCUUGCUCCUCUGACGUUAACGGCGGACGGGUGAGUAACACGUGGAUAACCUACCUAUAAGACUGGGCUAACUUCGGGAAACCGGAGCUAAUACCGGAUAAUAUAUUGAACCUCAUGGUUCAAUAGUGAAAGACGGUUUUGCUGUCACUUAUAGAUGGAUCCGCGCCGCAUUAGCUAGUUGGUAAGGUAACGGCUUACCAAGGCAACGAUGCGUAGCCGACCUGAGAGGGUGAUCGGCCACACUGGAACUGAGACACGGUCCAGACUCCUACGGGAGGCAGAAGUAGGGAAUCUUCCGCAAUGGGCGAAAGCCUGACGGAGCAACGCCGGGUGAGUGAUGAAGGGCUUCGGAUCGUAAAACUCUGUUAUUAGGGAAGAACAAAUGUGUAAGUAACUAUGCACGUCUUGACGGUACCUAAUCAGAAAGCCACGGCUAACUACGUG
rnacentral:rRNA from 1 species